rnacentral:rRNA from 1 species
UACGAAGGGGGCUAGCGUUGCUCGGAAUCACUGGGCGUAAAGGGUGCGUAGGCGGGUCUUUAAGUCAGGGGUGAAAUCCUGGAGCUCAACUCCAGAACUGCCUUUGAUACUGGCGAUCUCGAGUCCGGGAGAGGUGAGUGGAACUGCGAGUGUAGAGGUGAAAUUCGUAGAUAUUCGCAAGAACACCAGUGGCGAAGGCGGCUCACUGGCCCGGUACUGACGCUGAGGUGCGAAAGCGUGGGGAGCAACAG